UACGUAGGGUGCAAGCGUUAAUCGGAAUUACUGGGCGUAAAGCGUGCGCAGGUGGUUGUGUAAGCUUGAUGUGAAAUCCCCGGGCUUAACCUGGGAACUGCAUUGAGGACUGCACAGCUAGAGUGUGGCAGAGGGGGGUAGAAUUCCACGUGUAGCAGUGAAAUGCGUAGAGAUGUGGAGGAAUACCAAUGGCGAAGGCAGCCCCCUGGGUUAACACUGACACUCAUGCACGAAAGCGUGGGGAGCAAACAGG
rnacentral:rRNA from 1 species